rnacentral:tRNA from 1 species
GGUGGUGAGGUUUAAUGUCUCUUCCUUGA